rnacentral:rRNA from 1 species
CCUACGGGAGGCAGCAGUGGGGAAUAUUGGGCAAUGGGCGCAAGCCUGACCCAGCAAUGCCGCGUGAAGGAAGAAGGCUUUCGGGUUGUAAACUUCUUUGACAGGGGAAGAGCAGAAGACGGUACCCUGAAAACAAGCCACGGCUAACUACGUGCCAGCAGCCGCGGUAAUACGUAGGUGGCAAGCGUUGUCCGGAUUUACUGGGUGUAAAGGGCGUGUAGCCGGGAAGGCAAGUCAGAUGUUAAAUCUGGAGGCUCAACCUCCAAAUUGCAUUUGAAACUGUUUUUCUUGAGUACUGGAGAGGCAGCCGGAAUUCCUUGUGUAGCGGUGAAAUGCGUAGAUAUAAGGCGGAACACCAGUGGCGAAGGCGGUCUGCUGGACAGCAACUGACGGUGAGGCGCGACAGCGUGGGGAGCAAACAGGAUUAGAUACCCUUGUAGUC